rnacentral:rRNA from 1 species
UGGGGAAUAUUGGACAAUGGGCGAAAGCCUGAUCCAGCAAUGCCGCGUGAGUGAUGAAGGCCUUAGGGUUGUAAAGCUCUUUUACCCGGGAUGAUAAUGACAGUACCGGGAGAAUAAGCCCCGGCUAACUCCGUGCCAGCAGCCGCGGUAAUACGGAGGGGGCUAGCGUUGUUCGGAAUUACUGGGCGUAAAGCGUACGUAGGCGGCUUUGUAAGUUAGAGGUGAAAGCCCGGGGCUCAACUCCGGAAUUGCCUUUAAGACUGCAUCGCUUGAAUCAUGGAGAGGUUAGUGGAAUUCCGAGUGUAGAGGUGAAAUUCGUAGAUAUUCGGAAGAACACCAGUGGCGAAGGCGACUAACUGGACAUGUAUUGACGCUGAGGUACGAAAGCGUGGGGAGCAAACAGG